UACGUAGGGGGCAAGCGUUAUCCGGAUUUACUGGGUGUAAAGGGGGCGCAGACGGCGAUGCAAGCCAGGAGUGAAAGCCCGGGGCCCAACCCCAGGACUGCUCUUGGAACUGCGUGGCUGGAGUGCAGGAGGGGCAGGCGGAAUUCCUGGUGUAGCGGUGAAAUGCGUAGAUAUCAGGAGGAACACCGGUGGCGAAGGCGGCCUGCUGGACUGCAACUGACGUUGAGGCCCGAAAGCGUGGGGAGCAAACAGG
rnacentral:rRNA from 1 species